UGCCAUAACAUGGUAAGAUUUGGGUUUGU
rnacentral:piRNA from 1 species